UACGUAGGGUCCGAGCGUUGUCCGGAAUUAUUGGGCGUAAAGGGCUCGUGAGGCGGUUCGUCACGAUCGGGAGUGGAAAACCUCGGGGCUUAACCCCGAGCCUGCUUCCGAUACGGGCAGGACUAGAGGUAGGCAGGGGAGAGCGGAGCUCCUGGUGUAGCGGUGGAAGUGCGCAGGAUAUCAGGAAGAACACCGGUGGCGAAGGCGGCUCUCUGGGCCUUACCUGACGCUGAGGAGCGAAAGCGUGGGUAGCGAACAGG
rnacentral:rRNA from 1 species